AUGCACGCUGGCGGCGUGCCUAAUACAUGCAAGUCGAGCGAACGGACGAGAAGCUUGCUUUUCUGAUGUUAGCGGCGGACGGGUGAGUAACACGUGGAUAACCUACCUAUAAGACUGGGAUAACUUCGGGAAACCGGAGCUAAUACCGGAUAAUAUUUUGAACCGCAUGGUUCAAAAGUGAAAGACGGUCUUGCUGUCACUUAUAGAUGGAUCCGCGCUGCAUUAGCUAGUUGGUAAGGUAACGGCUUACCAAGGCAACGAUGCAUAGCCGACCUGAGAGGGUGAUCGGCCACACUGGAACUGAGACACGGUCCAGACUCCUACGGGAGGCAGCAGUAGGGAAUCUUCCGCAAUGGGCGAAAGCCUGACGGAGCAACGCCGCGUGAGUGAUGAAGGUCUUCGGAUCGUAAAACUCUGUUAUUAGGGAAGAACAUAUGUGUAAGUAACUGUGCACAUCUUGACGGUACCUAAUCAGAAAGUCACGGCUAACUACGUG
rnacentral:rRNA from 1 species